AACUAAUCAUUCCCCCCAAAAAAAAAGAGAAAUGCAUAGGAAUGGAUGCAUCAAACCUAUUGUUUACCUAUCAUUCAUUGAUGUUUCUUUGAAAAUAAUAUUUUCCUCUCAUCUAAAAAUUGAAGCUUUCUAAGGAGAUUAAAGAAGUAAAUUUUGAUACAUUUUGCAAAAAAUAUGAAAAUCAAGAUAGGCAUUGCUAAAUCAGACAAAUGCUCGGGC
rnacentral:lncRNA from 1 species